UUCUUACACCUAGUGUGAACCGGGCCUUGUUGAAGACCCUAAGCACAAUUUUUGCAGCCCUGUCCUUCUUUGGUCAGGGUA
rnacentral:snRNA from 1 species